rnacentral:rRNA from 1 species
CAACAGGGAUUGCCUCAGUAACUGCGAGUGAAGCGGCAAAAGCUCAAAUUUGAAAUCUGACGUCUCCUGGCGUUCGAAUUGUAAUUUGGAGGGGCAUUUUCGGAGCUGGCACCGUCCUAAGUUCCUUGGAACAGGACGUCACAGAGGGUGAGAAUCCCGUGCCUGGAUGGCUGUCCAGCUCCAUGUGAGGUGUCUCCGACGAGUCGAGUUGUUUGGGAAUGCAGCUCAAAAUGGGUGGUAAAUUUCAUCUAAAGCUAAAUACUGGCGAGAGACCGAUAGCGCACAAGUAGAGUGAUCGAAAGAUGAAAAGCACUUUGAAAAGAGAGUUAAAAAGUACGUGAAAUUGUUGAAAGGGAAGCGCUUGAGACCAGACUCAACCUUCGGUGAUCAACUGUGCUUCUGUGCGGUGCACUUGCCGGGGGUUGGGCCAGCAUCGGUUUUGACGGUGGGAUAAAGGUUCGAGGAAUGUGGCUCCCCGAUUCCGGGGAGUGUUAUAGCCCUGAGCGCAAUGCCACCUGUUGGGACCGAGGACCGCGCUUCCGCUAGGAUGCUGGCGCAAUGGUCUUAAGCGGCCCGUCU